rnacentral:tRNA from 2 species
GGGUUCGUAGCUCAGCUGGCUAGAGCGUCUCGUUUACACCGAGAAGGCCAGGGGUUCAAAUCCCUUCGAACCCACCA